AAGACUAUAGUUGCAGGGACCAUGCAUAUAGUUCAUCACUAGAGAAGUUUCUCUGAUUGUGUAGAGCACCCAAAGCCACAAGGAAGAUAAGGAAGAUAAGGAAGAGUGGUUUAUGAGCAUGAAGCUGGUUCUAGAUGUUGCUUUUGCAAUUUCCUUUUACCGUUGAUGAACCUUCCUCUCUUCCUUUGGAAGAGGGAGAGGGAGAGGGUACAGUUUGAGUGAU